rnacentral:rRNA from 1 species
GACAGAGGUGCCAAGCGUUAGGCGGAAUCACUGGGCUUAAAGCGUGUGUAGGCGGAAUUCUAAGUACCUUGUGAAAUCCCACGGCUCAACCGUGGAACUGCUCGGUAUACUGGUUUUCUUGAGCCACUUAGGGGCUGUCGGAACAAGCGGUGGAGCGGUGAAUGCGUAGAUAUCACUAGGAACGCCGGUGGCGAAAAGCGGCCGGACUGGACCUCUUCUGACGCUGAGGCGACGGAAGCCAGGGAGCGAACGG